rnacentral:rRNA from 1 species
AUUGAACGCUGGCGGCAUGCUUUACACAUGCAAGUCGAACGGUAACAGGCCUUCGGGUGCUGACGAGUGGCGAACGGGUGAGUAAUGCAUCGGAACGUACCCAGAGGUGGGGGAUAACGCAACGAAAGCUGUGCUAAUACCGCAUGUGAUCUGAGGCUGAAAGCGGGGGACCGAGCAGCAAUGUUUGGCCUCGCGCCUUUGGAGCGGCCGAUGUCGGAUUAGCUAGUUGGUGGGGUAAAGGCCUACCAAGGCGACGAUCCGUAGCUGGUCUGAGAGGACGACCAGCCACACUGGGACUGAGACACGGCCCAGACUCCUACGGGAGGCAGCAGUGGGGAAUUUUGGACAAUGGGCGCAAGCCUGAUCCAGCAAUGCCGUGUGCGGGAAGAAGGCCUUCGGGUUGUAAACCGCUUUUGGCAGGAACGAAACGGUGUCCGCUAAUACCGGGCGCUAAUGACGGUACCUGCAGAAUAAGCACCGGCUAACUACGUG